rnacentral:rRNA from 1 species
AUUGAACGCUGGCGGCAGGCCUAACACAUGCAAGUCGAGCGGAGCGGCGGACGGGUGAGUAAUGCCUAGGAAUCUGCCUGGUCGUGGGGGAUCACGUCCGGAAACGGGCGCUAAUACCGCAUACUAUCAGAUGAGCCUCGGUCGGAUUCGCUAGUUGGUGGGGUAAAGGCCUACCAAGGCGACGAUCCGUAACUGGACUGAGAGGAUGAUGAGUCACACUGGAACGGGGAUACGGUCCAGACUCCUACGGGAGGCAGCAGUGGGGAAUAUUGGACAAGGGGCGAAAGCCUGAGCCAGCCAGGCCGCGUGUGUGAAGAAGGUCUUCGGAUUGUAAAGCACUUUAAGUUGGGAGGCGUUACCAACAGAAUAAGCACCGGCUAACUUCGUGCCAGCAGCCGCGGUAAUAC